rnacentral:lncRNA from 10 species
UGACAGGCCUCACCCAGCUUCCAAGCAGCCAGAAAGACCAGUCUCACUCCCACUGUGCCCCCCACAGCACUGAGUUUGUUUCCAGGCAGCUGGUGAGCAGGGCUGAGAACUUGCCCCAGGCUACAAGCCUCCCUGCUGAGAAAGCAAGCAGGGCUUCAUGUCUCCCCACCUGCUGUGGCUUCUGUGCUUGUAGCUGCAGUCCCUGUUCAUCCCCUCCCCUGGAUUCUGUCCAGGAAACUUUGCAUUUGGUUGAUAUUGUUACAAAGUUCAGCUGGAAGUUUUCUUCUCCCUGUGGUCUUUCUUCAAUUCCACUGGCAGCUCUCCUCAAGGACUCCUGUAAGACAAAGUCAUAAAUGGCAUACCUGGGGACCAAGAGUGCCCACAGUCUCUUCCCGCUGCUUCCUCUACCCCAUAUUUUGCUUGGCUCUCUAAAUUCAUCUCAGCUUCAGCUCAAGGGGCCCUUUGUUGGUGGCUGCCAGUUUCACUUCCUGACCACCUGUCCAAGAGUCUCAGAGUCCAUGAAACAGCAACAGGAAGGUGAACAUCAAGAUACAUGCUGCUCUGGGAAGGGAAUGACCUUGCGUGAAGUGGCUGAAGCUGACCCUGAAGGAGCUGACAGCUGGAGGCUCUGUGCUCACUGUAGUCCGUUCAUCUGGGUAGCAGGUCUUCCUUGAAAGGGGAUCAAGGUGGGUGCAGCCCUGCAGCCCUGCACCACAGAGCCUGGCUUGGCACUUACUAUGGACUGAAUUGUGUUCCUGCAAAAUUUAUAUGUUGAAGCCCUGACUGAAUUGGAGAUAGAGCCUUUACAGUGAUAAUUAAGAUUAAAUGAGGGCAUAAGGUUGAGGCUUGAAUCCAUCAGGACUAGUGUCUUUAUAAGAGGAGAAAGUCAUGAGAAGAGAAAAGGCCAAAUGAGGACACAGUGAGAAGGCAGCCAUCUGCAAUCCUAGGAGCAAGGCCUUGGGAGAACCCAAACUGCCAACACCUUGAUCUUGGAAUUCCAGACUCUAGAAUUGUGAGCAAAUAAACUCUGUUGUUUAACCACGGAGUCUGUAGCAUUUUGUUAUGACAGCCCUAGAAAACAAAUACAAUACCCUAAACUUUUCUGGGAGAAAUUUUUGUGACACCCUUAUUUGGAGUCAGUUUCAGCCAGAUGCUGUUUCCCAAUUAUUUCUGACCUUUAUGAAAGUCAAAGAUGAAGUAAUUUGGCAAAAUACUUUGAAAUAAUUUUUCUGCUGGUAUGUACUGAGUUUCAGAGAGAGAAAGAGAGAUACCAUGUAUUGGAUGUUGUUUUGUUUCUAUGUCUGGGCUUGGUCCUCAGGGGAUACAGAAGAUCAAUAAGACAUGGUCUCUCUUCUUAAGGAUUGUUUCCUAUAGGUGGAUCUGCAUUAAAUGACAUGGAUAUGUCCACUUAGUGAUAGACAGAGUGGACAUGUCCAUAGAGUGGAUGGCUUUUGUAAAGUCUAAGAAAAAAAUCCAUAGAGAUGGGAAAUAUCAGCUCAGUUGAAUGACAAGCAGGUUGAAUUGUUUCCAAAGGACUGAAAUGUUCACUAAAUUUUUACUCUGUAUUUUCAAGAGAAUGGGACUCACAAGAUGUUCAGCAUUGCUUCCUAAUUGUCCGUGAUCUUUCAUGCUGGGCUUUCUUUGUUGCUGUUUACUGCUUAGCCUGGACAAUGCUCCUAGUUCCAUCUUUUACCUACUUCUAUACUGAAUGAAGCCUUUAGUGGACUCUAGUUACUAUCUGAGUGUCACUUCCUACUAUACCUGACCUUAAAAGCAAGUUAUGCAUCCUCUCUGUGUUUAAGUGAAGAUUAUUAUCGUUCCUGUUUAACACACUUAAAGUACUCAGCUGACUUUAGGAUAUGUAUUAAAUAUUCAUUAGGUGUCAGUUGUGUCUGGAAGGUACUUUCCCACCUUCAAGGAGCAACUCAAGCUUUUUGUCCCCCUGCUCAGCUAUAUUUGGCAUUUCUCCUUCUGGGCUCCUAGAGCACUUUCAUGUAUCUCUUAUUUCACAUCUCAUGUUAUAGAGAUUUUUAAAAUUAUCUGUCACAUACCCUGGUCUCUGAAAUCAAGAGAAUAUUAUAUUUUAUUAUAAUCUCAGUUUAUUAUAAAGGUGCCUGACACAUAGUAGGUGUUCAAAGAUUGUUGCUGAUUAAAUACUUAUGACCUUGUUGUGGGGGGGAAUAAUAUGUGGUUUUUGUACCAAAAAAAAAAAAUAAUAAAUAAAUGAAUACUUAGGACCAAUUGAUCUUUGAUUUGGGGUAAAGCAUAUAGAAAAAUAAGAGAGGAAAAGAUGGAGUUGAACUAUAGAACAUGGGCAAGAGAGACAUUUAAGGAUUUUAUUAUAUUCAAUUGCUUGGCUGUCUGGGAAUUGGUGAUUAUAAAAUAUCUGAUGUGAUUUGACCCAGUGAAAAUUGGGCAGGUGAAUGAAAUUCUAUUUGGGAAGAUUGGCAUUCUUGAGAAUUGACAAAAGCUGUAUCUUCCAUUAGCUUUAGCGUUAUUUUGGAUCUGAUUACAUGUGGCUAUUAACGCCUGAUCCUAACUACUGUAGAACCUAAUAUCCUCCCAAAUGCCAUCCUCCACAAAUUGCAAAAGUAUCUUCUCAGACAAAAUCUGAGUUUCUCUCAACCUGCUGAGAUGAACUUGCAAUUAUUUUUUGGCCUGGAGAACGUAACUUUAAGACGCAAAUUUGAAAAAUGAAUUCCAAAGCACCAUUAUUGUACAUGUAGAAGAAAUCUUUAUUUUGCAUAUUAUUCACCUUGAUCUGAAUAUUUGAUAUUGCUUGGUUUAUGUGGGGUUUAUGGUAUGUGCUAGGGAUUUUUCUCCUUCAUAAAGGAGAUGGCUCAGCCAUCUACUCAAAGUGAGUUUGAUUUAAAUAUCAUUAUUAGGAAGCUGAAUUGGUUCAGAAGAUUGUGAGACUCAAAGCAAUUGUUCUGCUCAGCUCCCCAAGGACAAAGCAAGGGAACUGAGCCUUGUCCAGGACCAUAGAAGGGUGUCAGCUUGGAUGACAGGCUGGUGUUAGUGAAACAUUUUAAAACAUUGUUUACAUGAGAAUUAUUUUUUAAAGAACUGUGGUGUGAAUCA